rnacentral:misc_RNA from 1 species
CGGUGCAAAACAUCAUAAUCUAGAAGAAACAAACUAAUUUCUUCCAGAUAAUCUAUUAUGC